UACAAUACUAAAAGGCAAAUAUACGCCAUGGAAAAGGUGUCCACGUCCUCACAAAAAAUCAGCCAAUGAAGAGCAUUUAAUUUGACACGUCAGAUAGGCCUCACAAUUGUGGGUUUCAAACGUGGUAAACGCUGGUAAGUCUGGGUAUGGAUUUGAUCGUUUUUUUAAUUGGCCCAACUGGACCCAAAACACACAAAGAAACGCGUCGAAGGAUGACGCUUCGCUUCACCUCUACCAGUUCGUCUUCUCCAAUUGAAGAGCAAAGAAACCGAGUAGUAAUGAGCCAUUUCUACACAAUCAAUACUUUCGUUUCAAUCAAUCAAUACGUUCUUAAUGAUUUCGUUCCAUCUCUCUCUCUUUUUCUCCUUCUUUAUAUACUUAGAUUCUUUCCUUCCUUCAAACCAAAAUCCUAGAACCACUCAAACCUCAAGCCAUGGCGAUGAAACGAAAUGGGAAGUCCCCUGUCUCCUCUGAUUCUGAUGAGAAAGUCAUGUUCUUCAAGGAUGUCUCUUUAGGUCCCCAUGAAUCUCAGUUGCGAUUCCGACUCAUCCACUUCUGGAAAGCUCGGGUUAAGAAGACACUUAUUGGCCUGGAUCAUGGUAUUGGUGUGAUAUGCAUCUUUCUAAGUAUUAACAAAUGUUUAUUUUUGUUUGUUACAAUUCAAACCGUUUCAUGAAUAGAGGCGUGAGCAAGGUCAUUUUGGCAAACUGUUUGCGUUGGUAAUGUGGAUCACAUGGUUUUUGUUUUUUUUUUAACAACGAAACACAUAGUUAUCUAUGUAGUUUUUAAUCUACAUUCUUUUAACUGUUGUUGCUUUCUUUCUCUUAAUGAGUUGAAAACCCAAUAGCUUCUGCAACUCUAGCUGGUGAUUUUGGAAUUGGGUCUGAACAACUUCUGCUGAUGUGAAAAGAUCACACCUUGCUUCUCUGCAGUAAUAUAGAAGAGUAAUAAAGAUCCCACGGAGUAGUCUUUGUUUACCACAAGUGAAAGAAAGAGCCUUUUGUUUUUGUUUACUGAUGGGUGAGGAGUUAGCUGACACAAUGAACCUAGAUUUGAAUUUUGGGCCCGGUCCUGAGUCAGAUCUCCAGCCGUCCCUAAACGAAACUGUGAAUCUGGUUGAUUGGAGUAAUGACCCAUCCGAGAGAUCCUCUGAAGCUGUGACGAGGAUCAGAACUCGGCACAGGACGCGGUUCAGACAACUUAAUCUCCCCAUACCAGUUAUAUCUGAAACCCAUAUGUCUAUUGAACUGAACCAGUUGAUGUGAAGUCCUGUAACCGGAGCUGCUUUGCAGACUGGCGAGGGUAGUGAAAGAGGCAAUGAGGAUCUGAAAAUGUGAGAGAAUGGAUAUGGAGCCAUUGGUGACAGUGUGUCAGAGAAGAAAACGGACGUGGAGAAAAGCAGUGGCAGCGAUGGUAACUUCUUCGAUUGUAAUAUAUGUUUGGAUUUGUCCAAAGAGCCGGUUCUCACCUGUUGUGGCCAUCUUUGAUAGUGUCUUCACUUGGUGUCUUUUAAAUGACAUUAUUCAGGGGAAAUGAUGAUGAUUUGCUAAGAUCAAAAACACUUAUUGUCCUAUCCUCUCAAGAAAGAGAAAGGGUUUAUGAUAUGUAUAUAUACCUAUUCUUAAACAAUAAUAUUGUUACAAUUCAACAGCAA